rnacentral:lncRNA from 1 species
AUGGCCAUCCUGAGACCGCUCGCGAAGCCCAAGAUCAUCAAAAAGAGCACCAAGUUCACUGGGAACCAGUCAGACUGAUAUGUCAAAAUUAAGGGUAACUGGUGGAAACACAGAGGUAUUAACAACAGGGUUCAUAGAAGGUUUGAGGGCCAGAUCUAUGCCCAACAUUGGUUAUGGGAGAAACAAAAAGACAAAGCACAUACUGCCCAGUGGCUUCUGGAAGUUCCUGGUCCACAACGUUAAGGAGCUGGAAGUACUGCUGGUGAGCAACAAAUCUUACUGUGUUGAGAUCACUCAUGAUGUUUCUUCCAAGAACUGCAAAGCCAUCUUGGAAAGAGCAGCCCAGGUGGUCAUCAGAGUCACCAAUGCCAAUGCCAGCCUGCACAGUGCAGAAAGUGAAUAG